UACAGAGGGGGCAAGCGUUGUUCGGAAUUACUGGGCGUAAAGGGCGCGUAGGCGGCCUGUUAAGUCGAACGUGAAAUCCCCGGGCUCAACCCGGGAACUGCGUCCGAUACUGGCAGGCUUGAAUUCGGGAGAGGGAUGUGGAAUUCCAGGUGUAGCGGUGAAAUGCGUAGAUAUCUGGAGGAACACCGGUGGCGAAGGCGGGUCUCUGGACAGUUCCUGACGCUGAGGCACGAAGGCCAGGGGAGCAAACGGG
rnacentral:rRNA from 1 species